GAGUUUGAUCGUGGCUCAGAUUGAACGCUGGCGGCAUGCCUUACACAUGCAAGUCGAACGGCAGCAUGAUCUAGCUUGCUAGAUUGAUGGCGUGUGGCGAACGGGUGAGUAAUACAUCGGAACGUGCCCUGUAGUGGGGGAUAACUAGUCGAAAGAUUAGCUAAUACCGCAUACGACCUGAGGGUGAAAGUGGGGGACCGCAAGGCCUCAUGCUAUAGGAGCGGCCGAUGUCUGAUUAGCUAGUUGGUGGGGUAAAGGGCCCACCAAGGCGACGAUCAGUAGCUGGUCUGAGAGGACGAUCAGCCACACUGGGACUGAGACACGGCCCAGACUCCUACGGGAGGCAGCAGUGGGGAAUUUUGGACAAUGGGCGAAAGCCUGAUCCAGCAAUGCCGCGUGUGUGAAGAGGGCCUCGG
rnacentral:rRNA from 1 species